rnacentral:rRNA from 1 species
GCUUGUCUCAAAGAUUAAGCCAUGCAUGUCUAAGUAUAAAUAGUAUACAGUGAAACUGCGAAUGGCUCAUUAAAACAGUUAUAGUUUAUUUGAUAAUGGAAGUCUACAUGGAUAACCGUGGUAAUUCUAGAGCUAAUACAUGCUGUCAAGCCCGACUCUUUGGGAGGGUUGUAUUUAUUAGAUAUGAAGCCAAUAUUCCGCAAGGUCUAUUGUGGUGAAUCAUAGUAACUGAUCGAAUCUCCAUCUGGAGAUAAAUCAUUCAAGUUUCUGCCCUAUCAGCUUUCGAUGGUAGUGUAUUGGACUACCAUGGCAGUAACGGGUAACGGAGAAUUAGGGUUCGGUUCCGGAGAGGGAGCCUGAGAAACGGCUACCACAUCUAAGGAAGGCAGCAGGCGCGUAAAUUACCCAAUGCAGAUUCUGCGAGGUAGUGACAAUACAUAACAACUCGGGGCCCUCACGGGCUUACGGGAUUGCAAUGAGCACAAACUAAAAACCUUAGCGAGGAACAAGUGGAGGGCAAGUCUGGUGCCAGCAGCCGCGGUAAUUCCAGCUCCACUAGCGUAUAUUAAAGUUGUUGCAGUUAAAAAGCUCGUAGUUGAAGUUCUGGCUGCGCACGGCCUCGGAAGCGAUUUCGGGUCGGUUUUGCUUGCAGCCAUCCGUCUGCGAACUGUUGCGGCCUUCACUGGCUUGCUUCAGGGAACAGACCCUUUACUUUGAAAAAAUUAGAGUGUUUAAGGCAGGCUCCGCGCCUGAAUACAUUAGCAUGGAAUAAUGGAAUAGGACGCUUGUCCGUUUGAUUGGUUAUCGGACUGGCGUAAUGAUUAAUAGGGACAGUUGGGGGCAUUAGUAUUUAAUUGUCAGAGGUGAAAUUCUUGGAUUUAUUAAAGACUAACUUAGGCGAAAGCAUUUGUCAAGGAUGUUUUCAUUAAUCAAGAACGAAAGUUAGGGGAUCAAAGACGAUCAGAUACCGUCCUAGUCUUAACUAUAAACUAUGCCGACUCGGUUUCGGCCGGGUAAUCAAAAACCCCGGUCGGCGCCGUAUGAGAAAUCAAAGUCUUUGGGUUCUGGGGGGAGUAUGGUCGCAAGGCUGAAACUUAAAGGAAUUGACGGAAGGG